rnacentral:rRNA from 1 species
UACGAAGGGGGCUAGCGUUGCUCGGAAUCACUGGGCGUAAAGGGCGCGUAGGCGGCCAUUCAAGUCGGGGGUGAAAGCCCAGGGCUCAACCCUGGAAUUGCCUUCGAUACUGUUUGGCUAGAGACCGGAAGAGGUAAGUGGAACUGCGAGUGUAGAGGUGAAAUUCGUAGAUAUUCGCAAGAACACCAGUGGCGAAGGCGGCUCACUGGUCCGGUACUGACGCUGAGGUGCGAAAGCGUGGGGAGCAAACAGG